CGUAUUACAGUGUUAUAAGGAGGGUUUAGUUUAUAUUCUAAAUGUGUUCUAUACAAUACAGUAUUAAUUGUGUUGGUUGUAAUGUUAAAAUGCAGAAGUAAACAGUUUCACAGUGCAGUGCCUCUUUCCAGCUCAUGUGUUCAGUAGCUACAGAACACUUGAAGUGGAUCUGAUAGAUUGGGGUCAUAUUCCUCUCUUGCAAAGUCAGAAGAUAUUGGUAUAGCAGCUGUGUGAAAAGCCCCUUUCCUUUUGUUCCACGGUUCUGUAGUGAUGAUGUUGGCUUAGAUAUUACUUCUCUGCAGUCCUUGCCAUGGCUGACCAGGCAGCAUCUUCUGCACCCAGCCUUUGUGCUAUUUAAUACCACAACAGGUGAACUAGCAGCUACAGUAACAUUCAAGACAGGGCACACACCCAGUGGGUUCAUGACCAAUCAUUUACACAGGAAGGUUUACAAACCAAAGGAGGCCUUUCAACACAUUCAGCCCAUGUGAUGGAUACUACGUACCUGAAGCAUGGGUGUCAUGUUACCUUUUCCUGCUGCCUCUUAACAUUUUUCUAAGUCUAUAAAAACUCCUGAAGAGCCCCUAUUGGUGCUCAUUA